AUGACUAUACUUGUUUAUGGAGACCACUGAAUACACUUCAGUUGAUGUUCCUUCGUGUGAAAAUAACCACGAAGACAGAUUGAGCAUCUGGUUCGUGUUCACUGCAGACAAGAAAUUUGUUCGUGGCCUGUUCAGACCUGUGGCUGCAAAUUUCCAGUUGUUUACCAAGCUACUGUGCAAGAAAAGGGAUUUUCUCAUGUACCUGUCUGUGUAGUAGACCGAACGACAGUGUCACCGAGGGGAGGCACACAAAAUAAAACAGGAAUCGAGAAGAUCGAUGAUCUUCAUUAUUCAAGUCAUUCCUCAGUCGAGAUCACAAGCGUGGAUGGUGAAGGAAACAUUCAGAGCACCCCAAGCAAACCUUUGACGACCAGCCCUGUAAACAAGUGUCACAUUCAGAGAGGGAGAGGUGUGGUGUGUUGUAAGCCAGCUACUAAACCUUGAGACCUGAGCAUGAAUGUCGUUUUAACAGGCGGUUUAUGGAGCCACCGCAGGUAAAAAUCCUUUUCUGUGGUCGCUGGUGUCCCGAGACGAUGACUGUCAGUCCCAACGCUUCGUUGUCAUUGCCUGGACUUCAUCGUCGUUCUGCAGAUUGUGCUUCCUGCUGUUUGUUUGUUUUUUUAUUGUUUGUUUGUUUGUUUGUUUGUUUGUUUGUUUGUUUGUUUG